rnacentral:rRNA from 1 species
GUCCUCUUGAAUUUAAUUUGAGGUUUAACCUGCCCACUGAAAUUUUAAAUGGCCGCAGUAAUUUGACUGUGCAAAGGUAGCAUAAUCAUUAGUUUUUUAAUUAAAAGCUUGUAUGAAGGGUUGGACGAGGUAAAAUCUGUCUUUAUUUAAUUUAAUUUAGAAUUUAAUUUUUAAGUUAAAAAGCUUAAAUUUUAUUAAAAGACGAGAAGACCCUAUAGAUCUUUAUAUUAUUUAUAAUAAUUUUAAUUUAGAAUUUUUUAUUUUUUAUUGUAAAUAUUUAUUUUAUUGGGGUAAUAAAAAGAUUAAAUAAAUUCUUUUUUUAAUUUACAUUGAUUUAUGAUUAUAUGAUCCAAUUAUUUUGAUUGAAAGAUUAAGUUACCUUAGGGAUAACAGCGUAAUUUUUUUAGAGAGUUCUUAUCGAUAAAAAAGUUUGCGA